rnacentral:rRNA from 1 species
UCCCGAGCGUUGUUCGGAUUCACUGGGCGUAAAGGGUGCGUAGGUGGCGAGGUAAGUCGGAUGUGAAAGCUCGGAGCUCAACUCCGAAAUGGCAUUGGAAACUACCUUGCUCGAGGGUUGGAGGGGGGACUGGAAUUCUCGGUGUAGCAGUGAAAUGCGUAGAUAUCGAGAGGAACACCAGUGGCGAAGGCGAGUCCCUGGACAACUCCUGACACUGAGGCACGAAAGCUAGGGGAGCAAACAGG